rnacentral:sRNA from 1 species
UCAGUGUUACAGCACGAGGAGCACCUUGC